CAGGUCUGGGGGAGCCAUGGCUAGCCCCAACCCGUUUCUCUCUCACUGAGCUGGAACUGCUACUUCGGUCGAUCUCUUCCUCCUGCUCAACAGCUGAAGCACAAACAGCCAGUGCAGAACCGUUCUGCCAGAACGCCUGCCUAACCUCGCCAUAUUUGGCCCUCUCAAGAAGACUUGUUUUCUCUAUGCCUAUAAGGUGGUUGAUGAAAUUCCAAGAAGGAUCUGGGGAUGGAUUGAUCUAGGCAAGCAAUGUGAUUUACAGCCAGCUUCAAAUCAUCAGCAACUUGCCAGGUGUUGAAGAGAAAAAAAGGAGAAAAUUGUUGUUGGGAGGCAAAAAUACUGACGAUGAGCUCUUAACCAGAUUAUCCGUCUGAAUAGUUUGUAUUCUUGCUAUACGACCUUGUUCGUUGCAUUCUUGGGUGUUUUGACAAGGAGCAAGUAAUGUUGGGAAUGGAAUAUUACGAUGAAAGCAUAUGCAAUAGUGCGUUGAAGUCAUUCCCUUCAGUUCUGAACUAGAGAGUGCAGCAGUGAAGAAAUGAAAGAAGCAUAAAGGAUGCAAAGUGAGCGUCUAUACACUUUUGGAAUUGGGAGAC